AAGUCGUAACAAGGUUUCCGUAGGUGAAGGAUCGUUGGAGGCCCACACGGCCGACGACCGGGUCACUGGGCGCAAGCCCCCCUAUAACAAACGCUGCUAAGCGCGGCCGCGAUAAUACGCAGUCGACCAAAAACCGAUCUUGGUUCUC
rnacentral:misc_RNA from 1 species